rnacentral:rRNA from 1 species
UACGAAGGGGGCUAGCGUUGCUCGGAAUCACUGGGCGUAAAGCGCACGUAGGCGGAUUGUUAAGUCAGGGGUGAAAUCCUGGAGCUCAACUCCAGAACUGCCUUUGAUACUGGCGAUCUCGAGUCCGGGAGAGGUGAGUGGAACUCCGAGUGUAGAGGUGAAAUUCGUAGAUAUUCGGAAGAACACCAGUGGCGAAGGCGGCUCACCUGGCCCGGUACUGACGCUGAGGUGCGAAAGCGUGGGGAGCAAACAGG